CUACAUAAGCAGAACUUUUGGAAUUUAAGAGUCUCAUAACUACCUGAUCCUAAUAUACCUAAAAAUGUGUUUGCAACUUUCAGCUUAACACUGUGUGACUUCAAUCCCAGCAUUAAGCUCACCUGUCUCAGAGCUCAGCAUCUCCCUAGGUGAGCACAAGCUCACACAGUUUUAUCUUUUGUGAAGAACCCUUAUUUUUCCUUACCAACCAGAGAGUGAGAGGCAGGCUGCCCACAGAAGUUGUGAUCAGAAAUGGAUGUGUCAGCUGUUAUCACCGAACUUGCAGGGAUGUAAUCAUAGCUGCUUCUGUGUGCCAGAAGAAAUUGGAAUGUUUACAGCUUUUCUGCGCAGCAGGAAGGGAACAAUCACAAGUGAAAUACAAACGUUCAGUCACAUGGAAAAAUACAUGCAAAAAGCACAGAAGUGUGCACAGGCAUGUGCUCACACUCAGAAAAAGAGGAUGCUAAAGGGAACAAGCAGAAAAUGCGUUUGCAGGUAGAAAAUGUGACCAAAGAAGAAGAACCUUUGGGAGCAGAGGACAAGAUCCCAGAUCACUCAGAAAAUCAAACAUCCUCAUCAGCUGCCCACAGCCAUCUUUUGAUGUUGUCAGCAGCAAAUCAUCCUGUCUCUGCUGGUGUGGUGGGAAGCAGGCUGCAGUGGAAGCAGAGACAUUCAGGUAUGUGUUUUCUUGUUGUGGGGCUUUGCUGCUGCAGGGGUGAGGACAGGCUGUGCUGUGCUCACUCAAGAGGCAGUGCUCUGAAUCCAGAUCUCAGGAGAUAAAACGGCCCCAUACCAACAAAAAGACACCCAGUUUAAAUUGUGAUGACACCUCACCAUCAGGCUGACAUCCUUAGGGACAGGAUGAAAUACCUGCUGCCUGCUGUCUGCAAAUCAAGUCAAAACAAGAGCCACAUUUCAAACAAAAUACCUAAAGCACACGGGAAAAAUGGAAGUGUUGGGAAGACAGUUGAUUGAUAGGGAGAUAUCUUUGGAGUGCACCAUUCAAUUGCAUCAUUUAUAUUUCAUUAAGCAUGAAAUUAUGUUUAUAAUUGUAUUAGACAACUCUGUGCGAGAUAUUAGCUCAUAAGCCCAGACUGAAUUAAAAGAAUUAUUAAUUAUUACUCUGUUUUUUUCAUUUUUAAUGAAAUUAUGCUUCUGAAUUCAGAGCAUUGGUGAAGGUGUCUUUAAUUCAUAAAAAUAUCACUUUGGCUAUUGUGUAACUGGGAGGAUAGGAGUGGGUGUUAUUUAAUGCAAACACUAUUUCAUCCAGGGAUGCACUGCUUGUAAUCUAUGUGGAGAAUGGAGAUUCUCUGCUCCAAAAUGGAAAAAUGGCCAAUGGCAGGGAGAUGGUGCAGAAGCCUCAAUCACAGGGAUGGCCACGCAGUGUGCAGGGGAACCCAUGAUGAGGAGACCAAAAACACAGCAAGAGUUUAUAAAAAGAUAGUAAUAUAAAAAACCCCAAAUCCUGCAAAAAAUUAUGGGAAGCAGAAAACAAUCUGAAGCUCAGGAGAUGUGAGAAAAUAACAGGGAGCACCAGAGAGGGAGGCAGAGGGCAGGUAUCUCCUGGUAGCUGGGAUCUGUGGUUCUGUGCUGCCCAUUGCUUUGUGUGCCCUCAGCCAGCACCACCAGACCUGGGGAUGAUGUGUCACAGUGCCAAAAGUGACAAAAAUGGCCAGCUGGCAGCCAGCCCUUCUUGCUGGGAUCAUCCACAAACCCCUGUGUGAUGGAGAGGGAACGAUGGCUUGCAGCAAAUUGAGACCCUCUCUGUGGUUUGUCCAGA
rnacentral:lncRNA from 1 species